rnacentral:rRNA from 1 species
AACGAACGCUGGCGGCAGGCCUAACACAUGCAAGUCGAGCGGGGGAGCAAUCCCUAGCGGCGGACGGGUUAGUAACGCGUGGGAACGUGCCCAAAGGUACGGAAUAGCCUCGGGAAACUGAGAGUAAUACCGUAUGUGCCCCUCGGGGGAAAGAUUUAUCGCCUUUGGAUCGGCCCGCGUUGGAUUAGGUAGUUGGUGGGGUAAUGGCCCACCAAGCCGACGAUCCAUAGCUGGUUUGAGAGGAUGAUCAGCAACACUGGGACUGAGACACGGUCCAGACUCCUACGGGAGGCAGCAGUGGGGAAUAUUGCGCAAUGGGGGGAACCCUGACGCAGCGACGCCGCGUGAAGGAAGAAGGUCUUCGGAUUGUAAACUUUUGUCUUUGGUGACGAUAAUGACGGUAGCCAAGGAGGAAGCCACGGCUAACUACGUG